AUGAUAGCAUGCGUAUUGUAGUUAUGUCAUAACUCGUUAUUUUAUAAUUUUUUAAAUAUAUCAAUUGAUAAUAUUUGCUCUCGACUUUAUUUUGACGUUACAUUCUUGGACACACCAUUAAUUUAAUAGGUUGAAUGCUUUUUUCCGAAAAUCUUUUAUCAUUUAAAAAUCAAUGUUAUCAUGUCAGAAAUAUCUAUGGCGUUGAGAAUAGGCUAUACCAAUUACUAUGGAAAUGUCUUUUCAAUUGGACCCAAGACUGAAGACCUAACAAUUUUAUAUCAAGGUGUAAAUUAUAAAUAUAAAGCAUUAAUUUAAUAGGUUGAAUGCUUUUUUACUGAAAAUAUUUCAUCUUUUAAAAACCAAUGUUAUCAUGUAAAAUUGGUUUUGAGUAUGACAUAUCAAUUGCUAUGGAAAUGUCUUUCCAAUCGGACCUAAGACCUUACAAUUAUAUAUCAAGGUGUAAAUUAUAAGUAUAAAACAUUUAUUUCUAAUGUGACAUUUUUUCAUGUGAAUGUAUAAUAUCAACACUAAGCAAUUUGAAUGAAAAGUGUGUUGUGUUAACUUAAAAUAAUUAUUAAUGCAUGUAUUUGUGUAUGUGGGUUGAUAAUACUCAUAUACCCGUUUCAUUUAUUUUUAAAAAUAUCAGUAAUUAAUGUAUGAAUUUCAUACUACUACAUACAAGGAAUCGCUUCUUGAUUAUACCAAUAUUUAUAAUAAUAUGUAAGUAUAUUAUUUUUAUUUGAUUAAACUUAUCUAAGGUAGUUCAAAUGUCUGCUUUCAGUUUAGUUAUUUCUUACAAUGAUAUAACCCAUAUAUUGUGUGUCUGACAUACA